UACGAGGGGGGCAAGCGUUGUUCGGAAUUAUUGGGCGUAAAGGGUGCGUAGGCGGUGCGGUAAGUCUGUUGUGAAAUCUCCGAGCUCAACUCGGAGUCUGCAUCAGAAACUGCCGUGCUGGAGUGUGGGAGAGGUGAGUGGAAUUCCCGGUGUAGCGGUGAAAUGCGUAGAGAUCGGGAGGAACACCUGCGGCGAAAGCGGCUCACUGGACCACAACUGACGCUGAGGCGCGAAAGCUAGGGGAGCAAACAGG
rnacentral:rRNA from 1 species